CCUAUUACUGAAUGUGUGGUCGCGGCCGCCGGCUUGCCGGUCGGUAGAGGUUGUCUUCGUAAACCCUCUCACGCGCCACAUGUCCACUAUCCUUUCUCUACGAGCACCAUUUGUUCUCCUUCGGCGGGGUAACCCGCCGCUGGAACUAAUGAAACUCUUUGCAUCUAGCAUUACCCGUUCCGAUAACCACAAUCGUUA
rnacentral:misc_RNA from 1 species